UCUUGGUUAGUAUAGUGGUCAGUAUGCCAGCUUGUCACUAGAUCACUAGAUCUGCCUGUACGAGCGCUGGAGACCCGGGUUCAAUUCCCGGACCGAGAG